GACGAACGCUGGCGGCGUGCCUAAUACAUGCAAGUCGAACGAAGCUGUUUUAACUGGUGCUUGCACCGACUUAAACAACUGAGUGGCGAACGGGUGAGUAACACGUGGGUAACCUGCCCCAAAGCGGGGGAUAACAUUUGGAAACAGAUGCUAAUACCGCAUAACCACAGAAACCACAUGGUUUCUGUGUCAAAGAUGGUUUCGGCUAUCACUUUGGGAUGGACCCGCGGCGUAUUAGCUAGUUGGUAAGGUAAUGGCUUACCAAGGCAAUGAGACGUAGCCGAACUGAGAGGUUGAUCGGCCACAUUGGGACUGAGACACGGCCCAAACUCCUACGGGAGGCAGCAGUAGGGAAUCUUCCACAAUAGACGAAAGUCUGAUGGAGCAACGCCGCGUGAGUGAAGAAGGUUUUCGGAUCGUAAAACUCUGUUGUCAGAGAAGAACGUGUGCGAGAGUAACUGUUCGUGCAGUGACGGUAUCUGGCCAGAAAGCCACGGCUAACUACGUGCCAGCCGCCGCGGUAA
rnacentral:rRNA from 1 species